AAUUCUCGCAAAAAUCGUGGGUGAGAGUGUUAAAGGGUCGGCAACAUUUACGACUGUUAUGUUACGACCGUUGCGACACAGCCAAUGACCGAUAAGCUUUCGGUUUUCAACAACCGGUGACGACACUUCCGUCCUCCCGUCUGCAGACAGCUCCGGGCGCCGGCGGUGCCGUUCCGCCAUUCCGUGCGCAUGGUUAGGUUGGCUCUGUUGUUCGCACCGCCAACCGAAGUUCGUGAAAAUUUGUGCAGUGCGCUUUGCGACACUGUUUUCAGAGUUCAUGUGGUUUGUUCGCUGUGCGUUUGUGGGCUGUGUAAGGGUGUGCAAAAUGGACUCACUGACAAGCGACGACUUGUUAAUUGAAGAAGUACGUCAGCGACCCGUGCUUUUUGACCAGCGUCUGAGAGCGUACAGGGACAAACAACGUCAGCAAGACGCAUGGGAGCAGGUAUCCACAGUGCUGGAACAAAGCGUGCCUGACAUUCAACACAGAUGGCAGAGCCUCCGACAGAAGUUCCUUCGGCUGCGGAAGACAUACGUGAAGUCUGGAAGCAGCUCUGUAAAAAGUGGGCCCUCUUUGACAACCUGACAUUUCUCAACGACGCAAUCCAGAGCAGAAGCACUGUGUCCAACAUGGAAGGAGGACCCAGCCAUGUGGCACCGGAAGUACGACAUCUGUGUACGUUGACUCCAAGCAGUGAUUCGAGCACGUCGCCAGAGGCACUGUUUCAGUCAUUGUAUAUGGACGGCAGCGAAGACACCAGUCUAGUUGAAGACGUUCCCAUUGCCCAAGCUACAGAUGUCACAGAAGUCGGCGACACACUAGCUCCGUCAACCUCACUGUGCGACAAUGACUUGGCUGAAGGUAAUCGUCAGGGACCUUCUGAAAGCGGGGCCGGUUCAAGCCCGUGUGCCACUGCUUGCCCCACCCAACCUACAGGCAACAAAAAAGGACACUCCCAGAAGAGGAAGCAAGCCAACAUUGAUGAGCUAAUGGUCACGGCCUAAAUAGAAAAUAGGGGGCGGCUAAAUGAACUGAAAUCGUCAUCGAACACCGAUCAAGAUGAACUUUUUUUGCUCAGCAUGAAGCCACUUUUAGCCAGACUGCAUGACCGCAAGAAAGAAAUGACAAAGCUCCGAGUUCACAAGUUAUUAAUGGAAGCUGCUUUCCCAUCUUCUGUGCCGGGAAGUGACAAUGAAAGCAUUUGAAAAAGACACAGGAAGUGCUCUAAACAAAGUAUUUUAUUGCCAGGGCAUACUGCAUAGAAUUUGUGAUAUUUAUUUUUUUAUGCUGGAGCUCAGCUGUAUU